GGUUCUGCUCAUCUUUAAGUCGCGCUAUUCUAUUAUAGCAAACUAUCUGUAAGAGUUGGUAUAAUCAUGGCAAACCCUCAACUGCUUCUGUCUGAAGCUGAAGGCUGGUUAGUGUAAGGAUACCGAUGUCACACACCUCCUCCAUUUUUGGGAAGCAGAGAACGUGAAGAAAGGUGGAGAGCUAAUGAGGAUCAAUUUGGUCAUUGGUUAUGAGAAGACCACGCUCAUCUAGGACUCUAUUAGCAUCCAUCAUAAAAUCAUACAUGAAGGUUGGAUAUCAAAGAUUAUGUCACAUGAUUUGAGGAUCUUGAACCUGCGUUUCAUGUCUUGACGCUUUUUAACAUAUGAAUGAAGUGCGGUAAGAGAUGUGAGCAUCCCACCAAGGACAAGGCUUUGGAUACUGUGAUACAGACCAUAUCAAGAGGUUUGAAACCAACUUGAUGAAAGACUGGAUGUGUUAAAUAUUACUAAUUGGAUGGAACCGUUCUCUAUUUUUUUAGUGCAGGAUCUUCAAAAGUUUAUAUUUUAAUGACUUGGCCUUCAUAUAAUUAAGCAUGACAAGGAACACAGUAUUUGAAGUAUAUCAA